rfam:Paxillus rubicundulus Ve08.2h10 scaffold_160_c1, whole genome shotgun sequence.
GCCCGCCUAGCUCAAUCGGAUAGAGCGUCAGACUUUUACGUGCAAGGCGGUGAUCUGAAGGCUGCGAGUUCGACCCUCGCGGUGGGCU